UAGGAAUGAGAGCUCUCCAAGGGUCACCUGGGGAGAGAGGAAUCCCGGUCACUUCCUUCUAGGGUCAUGGCAAUCUUAUUUUCAUCCAUCAAGGUCCUUGGCAACCCAUCCCAGAACUGAAGAAUCUUCAUUUCCAAGAAGUCCUUCUCCACAGUCAACUGGAAUCUCUCGGUCUUUCUGUUCAAAGAUUUACAUAUCACCACCAAACGGCUCCAGAAUUUCUACAGCAGAAAAGGAGCUAAGGGAAAAGGGAAGAAAAUAUGAGACAUGGGAGACUUAAUCGGGGCCAGUAGCAUUGUAUU
rnacentral:lncRNA from 1 species